UACGUAGGGUGCAAGCGUUGUCCGGAAUCAUUGGGCGUAAAGAGCGUGUAGGCGGCCCGAUAAGUCCGCCGUGAAAGUCCAGGGCUCAACCCUGGAAUGCCGGUGGAAACUGUCGGGCUGGAGUCCGGAAGAGGCGAGUGGAAUUCCUGGUGUAGCGGUGAAAUGCGCAGAUAUCAGGAGGAACACCAAUGGUGAAGGCAGCUCGCUGGGACGGUACUGACGCUGAGACGCGAAAGCGUGGGGAGCAAACAGG
rnacentral:rRNA from 1 species